rnacentral:rRNA from 1 species
CCUACGGGCGGCAGCAGUGAGGAAUAUUGGUCAAUGGCCGAGAGGCUGAACCAGCCAAGUCGCGUGAGGGAAGACGGCCCUACGGGUUGUAAACCUCUUUUGUCGGGGAGCAAAGCGAGCCACGGGUGACGCAUUGAGAGUACCCGAAGAAAAAGCAUCGGCUAACUCCGUGCCAGCAGCCGCGGUAAUACGGAGGAUGCGAGCUUUAUCCGGAUUUAUUGGGUUUAAAGGGUGCGCAGGCGGAGGUGCAAGUCAGCGGUAAAAUUGCGGGGCUCAACCCCGUACUGCCGUUGAAACUGCUUGCCUUGAGUGCGCGAGAGGUAUGCGGAAUGCGUGGUGUAGCGGUGAAAUGCAUAGAUAUCACGCAGAACUCCGAUUGCGAAGGCAGCAUACCGGCGCGCAACUGACGCUGAGGCACGAAAGCGUGGGUAUCGAACAGGAUUAGAUACCCGAGUAGUC